rnacentral:RNase_P_RNA from 1 species
UGAGUGGACUAGGUGAUCGCGAAGGUAUACCUUUGAGGAAAGUCCGAGCUCCGUAGAGCAGAAUGCUGGGUAACGCCCAGUGAAGGUGACUUCAAGGCUAGUGCCACAGAGACAAACCGCCUCAAGAAGAAGAUCUCGUUUUGAGGUAAGGGUGAAAAGGUGAGGUAAGAGCUCACCAGCGAUUAGGCGACUAAUCGGCUAGGUAAACCCCAUUUGGAGCAAGGUCAAAUAGGGAAGGAGAGGCUGCUCGUCUCGCUAAACUUCCGGGUUGACCGCAUGAGAUCUUAGGCAACUAAGGUCCUAGAUAGAUGAUCAUCCACGACAGAACUCGGCUUAUCGGUCCACUCAGAAC